rnacentral:rRNA from 2 species
GGGUUGUGAGGUUAAGCGACUAAGCGUACACGGUGGAUGCCCUGGCAGUCAGAGGCGAUGAAGGACGUGCUAAUCUGCGAUAAGCGCCGGUAAGGUGAUAUGAACCGUUAUAACCGGCGAUUUCCGAAUGGGGAAACCCAGUGUGAUUCGUCACACUAUCAUUAACUGAAUCCAUAGGUUAAUGAGGCGAACCGGGGGAACUGAAACAUCUAAGUACCCCGAGGAAAAGAAAUCAACCGAGAUUCCCCCAGUAGCGGCGAGCGAACGGGGAGGAGCCCAGAGCCUGAAUCAGCAUGUGUGUUAGUGGAAGCGUCUGGAAAGGCGCGCGAUACAGGGUGACAGCCCCGUACACAAAAGCGCAUGUGCUGUGAGCUCGAUGAGUAGGGCGGGACACGUGGUAUCCUGUCUGAAUAUGGGGGGACCAUCCUCCAAGGCUAAAUACUCCUGACUGACCGAUAGUGAACCAGUACCGUGAGGGAAAGGCGAAAAGAACCCCGGCGAGGGGAGUGAAAAAGAACCUGAAACCGUGUACGUACAAGCAGUGGGAGCACCCUUUGGGGUGUGACU